GAAAGCGAGCGGCGGAUGGGUGAGUAACACGUGGGGAACCUGCCCCAUAGUCUGGGAUACCACUUGGAAACAGGUGCUAAUACCGGAUAAGAAAGCAGAUCGCAUGAUCAGCUUUUAAAAGGCGGCGUAAGCUGUCGCUAUGGGAUGGCCCCGCGGUGCAUUAGCUAGUUGGUAAGGUAAAGGCUUACCAAGGCGAUGAU
rnacentral:rRNA from 1 species